rnacentral:rRNA from 1 species
AACAGGAUUAGAUACCCUGGUAGUCCACGCUGUAAACGAUGAGUGCUAGGUGUUGGGUAGCGAUAUUCAGUGCCGAAGUAAACACAAUAAGCACUCCGCCUGGGGAGUACGGUCGCAAGACUGAAACUCAAAGGAAUUGACGGGGACCCGCACAAGCAGCGGAGCAUGUGGUUUAAUUCGAAGCAACGCGAAGAACCUUACCAAGGCUUGACAUCCCCUUGACAGAAGCAGAGAUGUUUCCUGCCCUUCGGGGCCAAGGGAGACAGGUGGUGCAUGGUUGUCGUCAGCUCGUGUCGUGAGAUGUUGGGUUAAGUCCCGCAACGAGCGCAACCCUUAUCCUUAGUUGCCAGCAUUUGAGGUGGGCACUCUAAGGAGACUGCCGAUGAUAAAUCGGAGGAAGGUGGGGAUGACGUCAAAUCAUCAUGCCCCUUAUGUCUUGGGCUACACACGUGCUACAAUGGUCGGUACAAAGGGAAGCGAAAGAGUGAUCCGGAGCAAAUCCCAAUAAACCGAUCUCAGUUCGGAUUGUAGGCUGCAACUCGCCUACAUGAAGUCGGAGUUGCUAGUAAUCGCGAAUCAGAACGUCGCGGUGAAUGCGUUCCCGGGUCUUGUACACACCGCCCGUCACACCAUGGGAGUUGGGAGCGCCCGAAGUCGUUGAGGUAACCCGCAAGGGAGCCAGGCGCCGAAGGUGAGACCGAUAACUGGGGUGAAGUCGUAACAAGGUAACC